rnacentral:rRNA from 1 species
UGCCGGCGACCGGCGACGGGUGCGUAACGCGUAUGUAACCUACCUUUGACAGGGGGAUAACAUCGAGAAAUUGGUACUAAUACCCCAUAACAUCACCGGAGGCAUCUUCGGUGGUUGAAAACUCAGGUGGUCAGAGAUGGACAUGCGUUGUAUUAGCUAGUUGGUGAGGUAACGGCUCACCAAGGCGACGAUACAUAGGGGGACUGAGAGGUUAACCCCCCACAUUGGUACUGAGACACGGACCAAACUCCUACGGAAGGCAGCAG